rnacentral:tRNA from 1 species
AUUGAGGUAGCAAAGAAGGUAUUAAUGCAAAAAGGCCUAAACCCUUUAAUCAGGGGUUCAACCCCCUCCCCAAUA